rnacentral:rRNA from 1 species
UACGUAGGGUGCAAGCGUUGUCCGGAAUUAUCGGGCGUAAAGAGCUCGUAGGCGGUCUGUCGCGUCGGAUGUGAAAACCCAGGGCUCAACCCUGGGCCUGCAUUCGAUACGGGCAGACUAGAGUUCGGUAGGGGAGACUGGAAUUCCUGGUGUAGCGGUGAAAUGCGCAGAUAUCAGGAGGAACACCGGUGGCGAAGGCGGGUCUCUGGGCCGAAACUGACGCUGAGGAGCGAAAGCGUGGGGAGCAAACAGG